rnacentral:rRNA from 1 species
CGAGGGGCAGCGAGUAGAUUGCUUGCAAUCUACGUCGGCGACCGGCGCACGGGUGCGUAACGCGUAUGCAACCUACCCAUUACAGGGGGAUAACACUGAGAAAUCGGUACUAAUACCCCAUAACAUCCAGGGAGGCAUCUUCUUGGGUUGAAAACUCCGGUGGUAAUGGAUGGGCAUGCGUUGUAUUAGUUAGUUGGUGGGGUAACGGCUCACCAAGACGACGAUACAUAGGGGGACUGAGAGGUUAACCCCCCACAUUGGUACUGAGACACGGACCAAACUCCUACGGGAGGCAGCAGUGAGGAAUAUUGGUCAAUGGACGCAAGUCUGAACCAGCCAUGCCGCGUGCAGGAAGACGGCUCUAUGAGUUGUAAACUGCUUUUGUACGAGGGUAAACGCAGAUACGUGUAUCUGUCUGAAAGUAUCGUACGAAUAAGGAUCGGCUAACUCCGUGCCAGCAGCCGCGGUAAUACGGAGGAUUCAAGCGUUAUCCGGAUUUAUUGGGUUUAAAGGGUGCGUAGGCGGUCGGAUAAGUUAGAGGUGAAAUCCCGGGGCUCAACUUCGGAAUUGCCUCUGAUACUGUUCGGCUAGAGAGUAGUUGCGGUAGGCGGAAUGUAUGGUGUAGCGGUGAAAUGCUUAGAGAUCAUACAGAACACCGAUUGCGAAGGCAGCUUACCAAGCUACUUCUGACGUUGAGGCACGAAAGCGUGGGGAGCAAACAGGAUUAGAUACCCUGGUAGUCCACGCAGUAAACGAUGAUAACUCGUUGUCGGCGAUACAAUGUCGGUGACUAAGCGAAAGCGAUAAGU